UACGUAGGUGGCAAGCGUUGUCCGGAUUUAUUGGGUUUAAAGGGUGCGUAGGCGGCAUUUUAAGUCAGUGAUGAAAUACUUCAGCUCAACUGGAGAGGUGCCAUUGAUACUGGGAUGCUUGAGUACUGAUGAGGUAGGCGGAAUGGACGGUGUAGCGGUGAAAUGCUUAGAUAUCGUCCAGAACACCGAUAGCGAAGGCAGCUUACUAAGGAGUAACUGACGCUGAGGCACGAAAGUGUGGGGAUCAAACAGG
rnacentral:rRNA from 1 species